UACGGGGGGGGGCAAGCGUUUGUUCGGAAUUACUGGGCGUAAAGGGCUCGUAGGCGGCCAACUAAGUCGGAUGUGAAAUCCCCAGGCUCAACCUGGGAACUGCAUCCGAUACUGGAUGGCUUGAAUUCGGGAGAGGGAUGCAGAAUUCUAGGUGUAGCGGUGAAAUGCGUAGAUAUCUGGAGGAAUACCGGUGGCGAAGGCGGCAUCCUGGACCGACAUUGACGCUGAGGAGCGAAAGCCAGGGGAGCAAACGGG
rnacentral:rRNA from 1 species